GAUUAUUUCAUAAAUACUUUAAAGACAUCAGAUCCCAUAUGACAUUGGAAGCUAAGCAGGGUCAGCCCUGGUUUGUACUUGGAUGGGAGACUGCCAUUGAAUACCAGGCACUUUAGGCU
rnacentral:rRNA from 1 species